AGCGAACGCUGGCGGCAGGCCUAACACAUGCAAGUCGAACGAAGUCUUCGGACUUAGUGGCGGACGGGUGAGUAACACGUAGGAACGUACCUUUUGGUUCGGAACAACUCAGGGAAACUUGAGCUAAUACCGGAUGAGCCCUUAGGGGGACAGAUUUAUCGCCGAAAGAGCGGCCCGCGUUAGAGUAGCUAGUUGGUGAGGUAAAGGCUCACCAAGGGUACGAUCUAUAGCUGGUCUGAGAGGAUGGACAGCCACACUGGGACUGAGACACGGCCCAGACUCCUACGGGAGGCAGCAGUGGGGAAUCUUGCGCAAUGGGCGAAAGCCUGACGCAGCCAUGCCGCGUGAAUGAUGAAGGUCUUAGGAUUGUAAAAUUCUUUUACCAGGGACGAUAAUGACGGUACCUGGAGAAAAAGCCCCGGCUAACUUCGUGCCAGCCGCCGCUGUAACAC
rnacentral:rRNA from 1 species